rnacentral:rRNA from 1 species
AUUGGACGCUGGCGGCAGGCCUAACACAUGCAAGUCGAGCGGAUGAAGGGAGCUUGCUCCUGGAUUCAGCGGCGGACGAGUGAGUAAUGCCUAGGAAUCUGCCUGGUAGUGGGGGAUAACGUCCGGAAACGGGCGCUAAUACCGCAUACGUCCUGAGGGAGAAAGUGGGGGAUCUUCGGACCUCACGCUAUCAGAUGAGCCUAGGUCGGAUUAGCUAGUUGGUGGGGUAAAGGCCUACCAAGGCGACGAUCCGUAACUGGUCUGAGAGGAUGAUCAGUCACACUGGAACUGAGACACGGUCCAGACUCCUACGGGAGGCAGCAGUGGGGAAUAUUGGACAAUGGGCGAAAGCCUGAUCCAGCCAUGCCGCGUGUGUGAAGAAGGUCUUCGGAUUGUAAAGCACUUUAAGUUGGGAGGAAGGGCAGUAAGUUAAUACCUUGCUGUUUUGACGUUACCAACAGAAUAAGCACCGGCUAACUUCGUG